AUUGAACGCUGGCGGCAUGCCUUACACAUGCAAGUCGAACGGCAGCACAGGGGCAACCUUGGUGGCGAGUGGCGAACGGGUGAGUAAAGCAUCGGAACGUACCUGUUAGUGGGGAGUAGCUCGGCGAAAGACCGGAUUAAUACCGCAUACGACCUACGGUGAAGACGGGGAGUCGCAAGACCUCGCGCUAUCGGAGCGGCCGAUGUCAGAUUAGGUUGUUGGUGGGGUAAAGGGACCUACCAAGCCGACGAUCUGUAGCUGGUCUGAGAGGACGACCAG
rnacentral:rRNA from 1 species